GAUGAACGCUGGCGGCGUGCCUAAUACAUGCAAGUCGAGCGAACAGACGAGGAGCUUGCUCCUCUGACGUUAGCGGCGGACGGGUGAGUAACACGUGGAUAACCUACCUAUAAGACUGGGAUAACUUCGGGAAACCGGAGCUAAUACCGGAUAAUAUGUUGAACCGCAUGGUUCAAUAGUGAAAGACGGUUUUGCUGUCACUUAUAGAUGGAUCCGCGCCGCAUUAGCUAGUUGGUAAGGUAACGGCUUACCAAGGCAACGAUGCGUAGCCGACCUGAGAGGGUGAUCGGCCACACUGGAACUGAGACACGGUCCAGACUCCUACGGGAGGCAGCAGUAGGGAAUCUUCCGCAAUGGGCGAAAGCCUGACGGAGCAACGCCGCGUGAGUGAUGAAGGUCUUCGGAUCGUAAAACUCUGUUAUUAGGGAAGAACAAAUGUGUAAGUAACGAUGCACGUCUUGACGGUACCUAAUCAGAAAGCCACGGCUAACUACGU
rnacentral:rRNA from 1 species